rnacentral:rRNA from 1 species
GGAGGGUGCAAGCGUUGUUCGGAAUUACUGGGCGUAAAGCGCGUGUAGGCGGCCUUUUAAGUCUGAUGUGAAAGCCCGAGGCUCACCCUCGGAAGUGCAUUGGAUACUGAGAGGCUGGAGUACCGGAGAGGAGGGUGGAAUUCCUGGUGUAGCGGUGAAAUGCGUAGAUAUCAGGAGGAACACCAGUGGCGAAGGCGGCCCUCUGGACGGAUACUGACGCUGAGACGCGACAGCGUGGGGGAGCAAACAGGAUUAGAUACCCUGGUAGUCCACGCCGUAAACGAUGGGCACUAGGUGUUCGGGGUUUUGACCCCCCCCUGAGUGCCGCAGCUAACGCAUUAAGUGCCCCCGCCUGGGGACUACGGCCGCAAGGCUA